AUACGGAGGAUCCGAGCGUUAUCCGGAUUUAUUGGGUUUAAAGGGUGCGCAGGCGGCCAUUUAAGUCAGCGGUUAAAUCGUGGGGCUCAACCCCAUUCUGCCGUUGAUACUGGGUGGCUUGAUUGCGGUCGAGGUUGGCGGAAUUCGUUGUGUAGCGGUGAAAUGCAUAGAUAUGACGAAGAACACCGAUUGCGUAGGCAGCUGGCCAGACCGCAAAUGACGCUCAUGCACGAAAGUGCGGGGAUCGAACAGGAUUAGAUACCCUGGUAGUCCGCACAGUAAACGAUGAAUACUUGUUUUCGGCGAUAUAAUGUCGGAGGCAAAGCGAAAGCGAUAAGUAUUCCACCUGGGGAGUACGCCGGCAACGGUGAAACUUAAAGGAAUUGGCGGGG
rnacentral:rRNA from 1 species